rnacentral:misc_RNA from 1 species
GUAUAUAACUUUUUAUAGGUGCUAAAAAGACCCAAUGAUCAACAUUCUGUUACAUUCAUAGGAGUAUGUGAAUGACAUAGAACCUAGAUACUCAAGGCAAAGCUGGGGUGCUCAUUGAAAAGAGACACAGCAAUCCUCAACCCUUCUGAUUUUCUCAGAAAAUUACUUUUCUCUAGGGUCCUACAAAAAGUGCACAGGUGGAAAAAUAAAGAUGACAAGCGUGCACAUGCCCCCAGGAAGAGCCAGCAACAGCCUAUCAACAUUUAUUCAAUAAUGAUCCUUCCGCAGGUUCACCUACGGAAA